AUGUGGUAUUUUUUUGAAAAAAGUUACAGAGGGUACAGUGACCCUAGGUGGCACUCCCACAUUAUUGUGUGGGGAGCUUUGGCUUGGCCACUGGGUGGUCAGGGAAAGAGUCAAGCCAACAUGAGUGCAUCCCACACUGACAGUGGUACUUUUUUUUCUUGUGCGCACAAAGCACAUGUGUGCAUGUGUUGGGGAAGGCAGCCCAGCAAGAACAGUGACAUGUCACUGCUGGUUCACAAGCACCAUGAGCAUCUGCUGGAGUGUUUGAAAAUUGAUGUGUUGAUUUUAACACAGCCGAAAGACAAGUGGAAGUGUUCGCUAAGAUAUUGGGCAAUGACACAGCACUGUAAUCUGAAUCUCUGGUCACCUUGGUAA
rnacentral:rRNA from 1 species